GACGAACGCUGGCGGCGUGCCUAACACAUGCAAGUCGAGCGGAGACAGCAAGUAGCAAUAUGAGCUGUUUUAGCGGCGGACGGGUGAGUAACGCGUGAGCAACCUGUCCUCAACUGGGGGAUAACGAACCGAAAGGUUCACUAAUACCGCAUAAGACCACGGAGUCACAUGGCUCUGAGGUCAAAGGAGUAAUCCGGUUGAGGGUGGGCUCGCGUCUGAUUAGCUAGUUGGUGAGGUAAAGGCCCACCAAGGCGACGAUCAGUAGCCGACCUGAGAGGGUGAUCGGCCACAUUGGAACUGAGACACGGUCCAAACUCCUACGGGAGGCAGCAGUGGGGAAUAUUGGGCAAUGGGGGAAACCCUGACCCAGCGACGCCGCGUGAGGGAAGAAGGUUUUCGGAUUGUAAACCUCUGUUCUUGGUGAAGAGGGGAAGACGGGUAGCCAAGGAGGGAAGCCCCGGGCUAACUACGUGCCAGCAGCCGCGGUAAGACCGUAGCGUG
rnacentral:rRNA from 1 species